rnacentral:rRNA from 1 species
AAUAUUGCACAAUGGAGGAGACUCUGAUGCAGCGACGCCGCGUGAAUGACGAAGGCCUUCGGGUCGUAAAAUUCUGUCCUUGGGGACGAUAAUGACGGUACCCAAGGAGGAAGCUCCGGCUAACUACGUCCCUGCAGCCGCGGUAAUACGUAGGGGGCAAGCGUUGUCCGGAAUUAUUGGGCGUAAAGGGUGCGUAGGCGGCCUUUUAAGUCAGAUGUGAAAGCCCACGGCUUAACCGUGGGACUGCAUUUGAAACUGGAGGGCUUGAGUAUCGGAGAGGGUGGUGGAAUUCCCAGUGUAGCGGUGGAAUGCGUAGAUAUUGGGAGGAACACCAGUGGCGAAGGCGACUACCUGGACGAAAACUGACGCUGAGGUGCGAAAGCGUGGGGAGCAAACA